rnacentral:misc_RNA from 1 species
GGGAGACCUGAAGUGGGUUUCCC